AUUGAACGCUGGCGGCAGGCCUAACACAUGCAAGUCGAACGGAGUGGCGGACGGGUGAGUAAUGCCUAGGAAUCUGCCUGGUAGUGGGGGAUAACGUCCGGAAACGGGCGCUAAUACCGCAUACUAUCAGAUGAGCCUAGGUCGGAUUAGCUAGUUGGUGGGGUAAAGGCCUACCAAGGCGACGAUCCGUAACUGGUCUGAGAGGAUGAUCAGUCACACUGGAACUGGGACACGGUCCAACCUCCUACGGGGGGCAGCAGUGGGGAUUAUUGGACAAUGGCCGAAAGCCUGCUCCAGCCAUGCCGGGUGUGUGAAGAAGGUCUUCGGAUUUUAAGCACUUUAAGUUGGGAGGCGUUACCAACAGAAUAAGCACCGGCUAACUUCGUGCCAGCAGCCGCGGUAAUUC
rnacentral:rRNA from 1 species